rnacentral:sRNA from 1 species
GCUGGGUGUGGUGGUGCACACCUGUAAUCUCAGGUACUUGGGAGGCUGAGAUAAGAGGAUUUUAAAUUUGAGGCAGCCUUGGCAAUUUAGUGAGACUCUGUCUCAC